NCCUAUGGCCAUACCAACCUGAACACGCCNGAUCUCGUCUGAUCUCGGAAGCUAAGCAGGGUCGGGCCUGGUUAGUACUUGGAUGGGAGACCNCCAGGGAAUACCGGGUGCUGGGGGCU
rnacentral:rRNA from 1 species